AUCCAGUUGGCGAGUCCCAAAUAGGACGAAACGCGCGUCCUGGAU
rfam:Schistosoma rodhaini strain Burundi genome assembly, scaffold: SROB_scaffold0000269